rnacentral:rRNA from 1 species
AUGGUGCGGCUUAGGUCAACUAAUACGAAUAAGAUACAGUUCACUCAACGAUUGCCCUUGGGUCCCGAACUCCAUAUGGGGAAGGAACAUUGUUGUUUGCGAGGUCUCGAUCAUUUACAUGGACCCACUUCUCAUUCCAUUUGUAGGAAUUUGAUGAUUUAUAAACCGUCCCCAACGAGCGAAAGGUUCAUGUUUGAACAUGAUGAAUCACUUCGUGCAGACCUGUUGCCCAUAAAUUUUCCUGCCUCAUAUGAGAAUGGAAAACUGGAAGAUUUUCUGCAUCGGUGGAUGAAGAAUCACGAACAUAAGAAUUUCUGGUUUAGCAUGUUCCCAGAAAGAAGAUACUUUUUUUCCAUUCGAGAAACGAGGAGCACGACCGAAGUGGCUAUACAUACAAAUCCAUUUACGGAUCUAUAUGCUCCGAUUGGAACUGGAAGUUCCAGAACUGGCGGCUGGUAUACCACCAUAAUGGAAUUUCCUUUUAUUUUUAGUAUUCGGAUAGGAUUUCUAUUGGCUUCAUCGGGAGGCUCGCGUAGUUUGUUACGUCAACUCCAAAAGGAUAAGUUGCAUUGGAAUUGA